rfam:Brassica napus, WGS project CCCW01000000 data, contig: 3616
GGAAUAUAAGAACCUGUUUCUUAAUUUUUAACUAAAAAAACUAAGAACCGGUUCUUAAAUUCUUAGUUUUUUUAGUUAAAAGUUAAGAGACGGGUUCUUAUAUUCC